AGAUCUCCCCACGAGCAUUGGUCUGGGACACCUCUGCAUCUGGCUUCAGCCAAUGGCCAUGCAGAUGUCGUCAGAUAUCUGCUAAGAAAGAACAGCCAGCCCAACCUCGCUGACAGCUUCAAGAGAACGGCCCUGAUGAAGGCAGUCCAGCAGGAGCAGGAG